UCCCCCCCUUAUUACAAUUUAGGGCCCCCACCCGCCGCUCAGGGGUGGGGGCCAGGGGGGGGGGAUAUUAGGUCUCCCUCCCUUAUUAGUAUUUAGGGCCCCCACCCGCCGCUGAGGGGUGGGGGCCAGGGGGAGGACACU